rnacentral:rRNA from 1 species
UACGGGGGGGAGCAAGCGUUGUUCGGAUUUACUGGGCGUAAAGGGCGCGUAGGCGGCCAGCACAAGUCAGUUGUGAAAUCUCCGAGCUUUAACUCGGAAAGGUCAACUGAUACUGUGCGGCUAGAGUGCGGAAGGGGCAACUGGAAUUCUUGGUGUAGCGGUGAAAUGCGUAGAUAUCAAGAGGAACACCUGCGGCGAAGGCGGGUUGCUGGGCCGACACUGACGCUGAGGCGCGAAAGCCAGGGGAGCGAACGGG